rnacentral:rRNA from 1 species
GACGUAGGGCGCGAGCGUUGUCCGGAUUUAUUGGGCGUAAAGAGCUCGUAGGCGGCUUGUCGCGUCGACCGUGAAAACUUGGGGCUCAACCCCAAGCCUGCGGUCGAUACGGGCAGGCUAGAGUUCGGUAGGGGAGACUGGAAUUCCUGGUGUAGCGGUGAAAUGCGCAGAUAUCAGGAGGAACACCGAUGGCGAAGGCAGCUCGCUGGGGACGGUACUGACGCUGAGGGCGCGAAAAGCGUGGGGGAGCAAAACAGG